CCAGAUGGAUUUCAGUUUAGCAGCAAGGAUGUUAGUGCUUUCAAAGUGAAUUAGACGUUUUCAGAAAGUAAAAGCAGAACAAUACAAUGGCGGCAAAGUGACCCUCAGAAUUUGGAACAGCUCUGACGUCCGGAGCACUACAUGGAUUUGUUUCUGGCUGGACCUGAUCCAGACUUCCUCACCCUGAGAGCGAAGGUCUUUGAAGAAAGGGGUGGUGAAAAAAUAUGAUUUACUGAGCAGAAAUCUACCUGGUUCUGGAAGAGUUGCUUGGCAAUGGAAGUUUGGACCGAGAUCAAGAGAAACAAACAACACCAUUCUAGGACUCUAAAAGAAACAACUCAAAAAACAGCAUCUGGACAUCCUGCAGGUGUGGUAAGCUUACCUGGACUCCCAUCCUCCCCACAGGGGUCGAAGGUUCACCCACACCAUCUGCUGCCUCUGCUGGGUCAGACUGCUGCCAACAGUGGGUGGCUCAUCAUAGACCUCAAGUGCUGUAGAUCUCAAUCCAGUCUGCCAAUUCAAAAAUAACAGUCCUUCUGUGGGCUCAUCAUCCACUCAUCAUAGAUGUUUCGCCCCACUAAUCCUGGAACAUCUCCUGAUUGUGAGGCAGAGUCAGGGAUGUCUCCCUGCCACCACCCCCGCAGCAGGACACCAGAUCAUUUCCAUUGCCUCUCAUUCUUGCCUUCCCAUCAAAACAUAUCUCCUUUACAAGUCCUAACAUGACGACAAAGUUCAAGACUCCCCCACAGAGAAAUCCUCUUCUUGAAGAAAACAAACAUCAAAUAAAUGUCCCUUCUUUUGCUAAAUAAAAAAAUUACCAAAUU